ACCUUCAGCCAUUGGUGAUUGAACUAAGCUUGCUUCACCCUGAUGGAGAUCAACUCGGUCACAUUUGCAGUGUGUUCAAAGGAGGUGUGGAAAGCUCCAUAUGGCCGCUGGCCAAAGCUUAUGUUGCCGUAAAUGACUCUGGAGUUCAUCAACUUAUCAGUCACUGGUAUUACUCUCUCAAACAGUCCUUAGGGAAGAAGUUCAUCCUUUCAAAAUUUGACACAAGUUCUAUCCAACUGUAGAAACCAGCAGUUCACCUACUGUAAGCAAUUGCUUAGUGAACAUUAUGUGGUUUUAACCUUGAGGGCUAUUAUUAGUGAAGGACCAAGAGAAUCAAAGUUGAAAGUCUGAACUGAAGAAUAAAGGGCAGAAGAAGACAUUGUUCAUUUGAAAUUUAUGAAUGAGCUUAUCGCUUAUGAUGAAGAAGAAUCCGCAGCAAGAGCGUAUGAUUUGGCAGCAUUCAAGUACUGGGGAACAUCAACUUUUACAAAUUUUUCAGUGUCCGAUUAGAAGAAUGAAAUUGAUCUAGUGACCACUCUAACAAAAGAAGAAUACUUGGCCUCUCUAAGAAGAAGAAACGGUGGCUUUUCAAAUUUCAAGUGGUGUAUCCAAGUACAGAGGAGUUGCAGGGCUAAGCAAAUGGAAUCAUACAGAAACUAAUGAUAAUCCGGGCAGCUUGGUAUUUGGAAAAAGAGUUGUAUGGUUAAUGACUAAUUUGGGCAGCAAAAUUAAGCUGCAAGCAAUGCGUGUGUUUAUGAGCAGGUAUAUGCUUGGCAGUUCUUUUGUUUACAUCUAUUGGCGUUUACUCUCAGAAAAAAAAAUGUUUAGCUUUUUAUAUAGAACAAUUCUUAUCUCUUUAACGAUCGAGUAUCAAUUGUGCGCUAUUCCUUUGUAAAUUAUUCCUUUGUAAAUUUUCAUUUCGAUUGUGAUUUUUGAAUUCUGAUACAAGCUUUGUGCUUUCAGUACUGUUUAAUUGAAUAGUGUAUUACAAUGUAAGUGCAGUUUUAAUUAAUUGUGCUGAAGUGCUACUUAUCAUCA